GUCCACGCUGUAAACGAUGAACACUAGGUGUAGGGGCGCAAGCUUCUGUGCCGGAGUUAACACAAUAAGUGUUCCACCUGGGGAGUACGGCCGCAAGGUUGAAACUCAAAGGAAUUGACGGGAGCCCGCACAAGCAGUGGAGUAUGUGGUUUAAUUCGAUGCAACGCGAAGAACCUUACCAAAACUUGACAUCCUGAGAAGACUGAUGUAAUGUCGGUUGUGCCCUUCGGGGAACUCAGAGACAGGUGGUGCAUGGUUGUCGU
rnacentral:rRNA from 1 species